rnacentral:lncRNA from 1 species
UUCGUGGUCAAAAUUUGAAGAUAGGUCACCGAUGAAACUAAUGAGUAAAAUGCAAAUAAAGUUAGAAAAUAGCCUCGUGUAACUCGAGAAAUUCCCCUAUUGAAAAGCGUCGCUGACUAGUAAAAGAUUGUACGCGGGCGCAGAACGAGUUUUCAUUCAGCAAAAUCCAGCCGCAAUGUUGUUUUUACUGUUUUGUUUUUGUCAACUUUUCGAUUUAUUUGAGUGCUAUGGACAGCCAAGGAUUAUUGUGAAGGAUUAAAUCGAUGAAAACAAGGUUGAAGCUAAUUGAAUCCUGCCGUUUACUCAAUCUAUGAGCUGUAACAGCCUAUUAACAGGUGGACGUGUUUUUUGUUUCAUGUUUGGUUUUGUACUUUUUGCUAAAAAUGAACAAUUAGGCUAUGAAACUGAAAUAUUUUUCUGUUUACAUAUAAUCACUUUAAUCUUGUAGAAACACGACUAAAAACGUGAACGUUUUCUUGAGAAGUAAAUAACUUUUUAAACGUUUGUAUGCAAUUUUGCAAAUGUUUUUAAUACAGUUGAGUCAGUUGACAGUGUAUAAAAAAAAUUAAAAAUACUGUUUCGUAUCUAUUUUUUGGUCUAGUGAUAUUCGAAUCAUACGUAGAAUCGCUGUAUAGACUCGCAAGUGAUUUGGCACUCAAAACGAAGUGUUAUUCAACGCUUUUUUCCAUUAAAGACCUUUCAGAAAUAGCUUUAUUUUUGAGGAAAGCAUGGUUAAUUUUUGUUUUGUUUUGAUCAUGCAGUUGCGUGGGAUAUUUCACGUACUUGUCCCGCGAACAUCCGGCACGGAACUGUAGGGAGCCUCCUUAAAAAUGUUUAAAAAUGUUAUCAGUAAAGCUGUAAAGCCUGGUUUCUAUGUGGUCGUGACGGUCGUAAAGAUUGAGUCAAGAUCUUUCUCAUCAUCUGAAUUACAACAUUUUAGAACUGAAAAUACGCGAAGUGAUAGUUAAAACUAGAGAAUACUUAUGAUUUAUUUGUGGCUUACAUGUAUAAACUAUUAAUAGCUAGCCGUGGCUCUAUUUUACGAAAGAUCGUGGCUUUAUUUUACGACCAUUACGACCAUAUGGAAACCAAGUCGCUUAAUUAUAAGGAAUCCUACACAGGACAAAACAGAUUGUAUAAUGCCGGGGAUCAAGGGGAAUCUUGGGAUCAAAGAAAGAAUGAGACACGCGUUCACCAAUUACCCGAAAUGCCUUAGAUUUCCAAGCCCGAUUGUUAAAACUAAAAUCGUAAAUAAAAGCGUACAGUGUUUACCGCUUUAAAAACUAGGAGUGUUUUCGUGAUUUGACGAACUAAUUCGAGUUUAUUGAACACGCGAGAAGUUGGAAAGUACGCACGAAAAAGCAUAAACAUGCACCUGGCUGACCUGUGUGCUUUCUCAACCUCCCGAGUGCUUUCCAAACUUUCCGAACUUUUCUUAAGGUGGCUCAAUACAGUUUUUUUAAAAAUGGAAAAUUCACGAUUUAGAUGCGUAUUUGUGGACAAUUGUAACUUGUUGAUAAACAAAAAGUACCUUACUUAUAUAAAACAACAUCUGAAGAGUUUGAAUUUUUGUACAAAAUUUACGCAACUGCCGUUGCUAUGGCAACAAUGACAUUUCAAGAUGGCGGAUAUUUUGGCUUUAAAGUAAUUUAACUCGUAAACGACAUUGUUGACCCCCAAAUUUUAUUUUAAAAAGUGAUUUCUCUUAGUACAACUUAUUUUGACAAUUUAAAAAAAUUCUGUGGAGC